ACGUAAUAGAUACCCUGGUAGUCCACGCCCUAAACGAUGUCUACUAGUUGUUGGUGGAGUAAAAUCCAUGAGUAAACGCAGCUAAACGCGUGAAGUAGACCGCCUGGGGAGUACGGUCGCAAGAUUAAAACUCAAAUGAAUUGACGGGGGCCCGCACAAGCGGUGGAUUAUGUGGAUUAAUUCGAUGCAACGCGAAAACCUUACCUGGCCUUGACAUGUAACGAACUUUCCAGAGAUGGAUUGGUGCUCGAAAGAGAACGUUAACACAGGUGCUGCAUGGCUGUCGUCAGCUCGUGUCGUGAGAUGUUGGGUUAAGUCCCGCAACGAGCGCAACCCUUGCCAUUAAUUGCCAUCAUUAGUUGGGCACUUUAAUGGGACUGCCGGUGACAAACCGGAGGAAGGUGGGGAUGACGUCAAGUCCUCAUGGCCCUUAUGGCCAGGGCUUCACACGUAAUACAAUGGUCGGUACAGAGGGUUGCCAACCCGCGAGGGGAGCCAAUCCCAGAAAGCCGAUCGUAGUCCGGAUUGUAGUCUGCAACUCGAC
rnacentral:rRNA from 1 species